rnacentral:rRNA from 1 species
UACGUAGGGACCAAGCGUUGUCCGGAAUCAUUGGGCGUAAAGAGCGUGUAGGCGGCUUGUUAAGUCUUGCGUGAAAUCUCGGGGCUCAACCCCGAGCGGUCGUGAGAAACUGGCAGGCUAGAGUGCGGGAGAGGAGAGUGGAAUUCCUGGUGUAGCGGUGAAAUGCGCAGAUAUCAGGAAGAACACCCGUGGCGAAGGCGGCUCUCUGGGACGGUACUGACGCUGAGACGCGAAAGCGUGGGGAGCAAACAGG